CAUCUGAACAAUAUAGAGCGGAAAGUAGAUUACAUAUAUAAAAGGGUUUGUUGCAUAUCUCACGUAGUAAAUGAUUACGAAGAAUCCGAAGUUUAUAAAAAUGGCAUUAAUGAAGAUAAAGGAGUCGAAAAGGAAACAGAAGAUAAUCCCGUUCAAGACGAUAACGAAAACCAAAUAAACCUAGAAAGUUAAAAUUUUGAUGAUACAGAUUCGACGACGACGUUAUCAAUGAUCAAUUGUUCAAUAUAUCAUUCAUGUCUCGUUUUUCUAACUUAGAACACAUUUUUUUUCUUUUUUAUUUAUUAGAAGAUUUGUAUACCUAAGUGAUAAGACUGAUUAUUGUGAUGUGAGCUUAGAUGAUUAUUUUUAUUAUUUUUAAGGGGGGGGGGGUUGUCAUUUUGUGCUAACUAAUUCUACGUAUGUGAGCUUAUUUUAUUUAUUUAAAUAUUAUUAUCGAUGUAGAAUAAACUUGAAUUUGAAGAAUCGCGAAUAAUGUAGAUUAAGAUUCGAGAUCUUUGUGUAAUUUCUCAGCUUCACAUACGUACACAUUUCAUCAUCAUUAUUUUAUUUUACUGUGUAUAUUAAAAAUUGUAAAUAUA